UACGUAGGGGGCAAGCGUUGUCCGGAUUUAUUGGGCGUAAAGAGCGUGUAGGCGGCCAUGCAGGUCAGCUGUGAAAACUCGAUGGCUCAACCUCGAGAUGUCGGUUGAAACCGCAUGGCUAGAGUCCGGAAGAGGAGAGUGGAAUUCCCGGUGUAGCGGUGAAAUGCGCAGAUAUCGGGAAGAACACCCGUGGCGAAGGCGGCUCUCUGGGACGGUACUGACGCUGAGACGCGAAAGCGUGGGGAGCGAACAGG
rnacentral:rRNA from 1 species